ensembl:rRNA 5S_rRNA 5S ribosomal RNA
GUCUACAGCCAUGCCACCCUGAGCAAGCCGGUGCCCGUCUGAUCUCAAAAGCUAAGCAGGGGUCAGGCCUGGUUAGUACUUGGAUGGGAGACCACUUAGGAAGACCAGGUGCUGUAGGAG